GACGAAAGUCUGACGGAGCAACGCCGCGUGAGUGAUGAAGGUUUUCGGAUCGUAAAGCUCUGUUGUUAGGGAAGAACAAGUGCAAGAGUAACUGCUUGCACCUUGACGGUACCUAACCAGAAAGCCACGGCUAACUACGUGCCAGCAGCCGCGGUAAUACGUAGGUGGCAAGCGUUGUCCGGAAUUAUUGGGCGUAAAGGGCUCGCAGGCGGUUUCUUAAGUCUGAUGUGAAAGCCCCCGGCUCAACCGGGGAGGGUCAUUGGAAACUGGGAAACUUGAGUGCAGAAGAGGAGAGUGGAAUUCCACGUGUAGCGGUGAAAUGCGUAGAGAUGUGGAGGAACACCAGUGGCGAAGGCGACUCUCUGGUCUGUAACUGACGCUGAGGAGCGAAAGCGUGGGGAGCGAACAGGAUUAGAUACCCUGGUAGUCCACGCCGUAAACGAUGAGUGCUAAGUGUUAGGGGGUUUCCGCCCCUUAGUGCUGCAGCUAACGCAUUAAGCACUCCGCCUGGGGAGUACGGUCGCAAGACUGAAACUCAAAGGAAUUGACGGGGGCCCGCACAAGCGGUGGAGCAUGUGGUUUAAUUCGAAGCAACGCGAAGAACCUUACCAGGUCUUGACAUCCUCUGACAACCCUAGAGAUAGGGCUUUCCCUUCGGGGACAGAGUGACAGGUGGUGCAUGGUUGUCGUCAGCUCGUGUCGUGAGAUGUUGGGUUAAGUCCCGCAACGAGCGCAACCCUUGAUCUUAGUUGCCAGCAUUUAGUUGGGCACUCUAAGGUGACUGCCGGUGACAACCGGAG
rnacentral:rRNA from 1 species